UUUGGUCUGUAAACCUCUUUUCUCAAGAAAGAAGUUCUGACGGUACUUGAGGAAUAAGCAUCGGCUAACUCCGUGCCAGCAGCCGCGGUAAUACGGGGGAUGCAAGCGUUAUCCGGAUUUAUUGGGCGUAAAGCGCCCGUAGGUUGUUUAAUAAGUCUGUUGUUAAAGACUAGGGCUUAACCCUAGGAAAGCAAUGGAAACUACUAGACUUGAGUAUGAUAGGGGUAGAGGGAAUUUCUAGUGUAGCGGUGAAAUGCGUAGAUAUUAGAAAGAACACCGGUGGCGAAGGCGCUCUACUGGAUCAUUACUGACACUCAGAGGCGAAAGCUAGGGUAGCAAAAGGGAUUAGAUACCCCUGUAGUCCUAGCCGUAAACGAUGGAUACUACAUGUUGCGUUUUUAAUGCAGUAUGGUAGCUAACGCGUUAAGUAUCCCGCCUGGGGAGUACGACCGCAAGGUUAAAACUCAAAUGAAUUGACGGGGACCCGCACAAGUAGUGGAGCAUGUGGUUUAAUUCGAAGAUACGCGCAGAACCUUACCAACACUUGACAUGUUCGUCGCGACUUUAAGAGAUUAAAGUUUUCGGUUCGGCCGGACGAAACACAGGUGCUGCAUGGCUGUCGUCAGCUCGUGUCGUGAGAUGUUGGGUUAAGUCCCGCAACGAGCGCAACCCUCACUUUUAGUUGCCAUCAUUAAGUUGGGCACUCUGAAAGAACUGCCAGUGAUAAGCUGGAGGAAGGUGGGGAUGACGUC
rnacentral:rRNA from 1 species